rnacentral:rRNA from 1 species
UACGAGAAGGGUAACCGCUAUUCGUCGUGGCUGGGUCUAAAGAGCGUGUAGGCGGCCCGGUAAGUCCGCUGUAAAAGUCAAAGGCUCAACCUUUGAAUGUCAGUGGAUACUGCCGGGCUAGAGUCCGGAAGAGGCGAGUGGAACUCCUGGUGUAGCGGUGGAAUGCGCAGAUAUCAGGAAGAACACCAACGGCGAAGGCAGCUCGCUAGGACGGUACUGACGCUGAGACGCGAAAGCGUGGGGAGCGAACAGG